rnacentral:rRNA from 1 species
GGGUCAGUAGGUCGGUCGUGCCACUGGUAUGAACUGGUUUUACUGAUUCCUCCCUUCUGACGAACCAUGAUGUCAUUUAUUUGGUGUUGUGGGGAAUCAGGACUGUUACUUUGAAAAAAUUAGAGUGUUUAAAGCAGGCUCACGCUUGAAUACAUUAGCAUGGAAUAAUGAAAUAGGACGUUUGAUUCUAUUUUGUCGGUUUCUAGGAUCGACGUA